UUUUGGAUAUAAAAUUAAGGAAUCUAAAGUAGUAAUAGUUAUGGUCUUGAAACUUAAAGAAUUUGGCGGUAUUUUAGUCUAUUUAGAGGAAUCUGUUCCAUUAUCGAUAAUCCACGUUGGACCUUACUUAAUUAAAAUUAUUUGUAUACCGCCGUAUAUUGAAAAUCUUUUUAGAGGAAUUUUCUUAGUAUUCAAAUUUAUUAUAUUUCAGGUCAAGGUGCAGUUUAUAAUUAAGUGGAGAUGGAUUACAAUAUUUUUAUAGACGGAGUAUGUUAUUGUAAUAUAAUUAUGAAGGUGGAUUUAAUAGUAAUUUUAAUAAGAAUAUUAAGGUGAUUUGAGCUCUAAAAUGUGU
rnacentral:rRNA from 1 species